AGCAGCCGCGGUAAUUCCAGCUCCAAUAGCGUAUAUUAAAGUUGUUGCAGCUAAAAAGCUCGUAGUUGAAUUUCGGGAUUGACACAUCGGUCGUGCCUUAAGGGGUAUGAACUGGUGUAGUCAAUUUCUCACCUUCUGGAGAACCGCGAUGCCCUUAAUUGGGUGUCGCGGGGAACCAGGACCUUUACUUUGAAAAAAUUAGAGUGUUUAAAGCAGGCAUUUUGCUUGAAUACAUUAGCAUGGAAUAAUAAAAUAGGACGGCAUGAUUCUAUUUUGUUGGUUUCUAGGAUCACCGUAAUGAUUAAUAGGGAUAGUUGGGGGCAUUAGUAUUCAAUUGUCAGAGGUGAAAUUCUUGGAUUUAUUGAAGACUAACUACUGCGAAAGCAUUUGCCAAGGAUGUUUUCAUUAAUCAAGAACGAAAGUUAGGGGAUCGAAGACGAUCAGAUACCG
rnacentral:rRNA from 1 species